CAAGUCGAGGGGCAGCAUGGUCUUAGCUUGCUAAGGCCGAUGGCGACCGGCGCACGGGUGAGUAACACGUACCCAACCUGCCGUCUACUCUUGGACAGCCUUCUGAAAGGAAGAUUAAUACAAGAUGGCAUCAUGAGUCCGCAUGUUCACAUGAUUAAAGGUAUUCCGGUAGACGAUGGGGAUGCGUUCCAUUAGAUAGUAGGCGGGGUAACGGCCCACCUAGUCUUCGAUGGAUAGGGGUUCUGAGAGGAAGGUCCCCCACAUUGGAACUGAGACACGGUCCAAACUCCUACGGGAGGCAGCAGUGAGGAAUAUUGGUCAAUGGGCGAGAGCCUGAACCAGCCAAGUAGCGUGAAGGAUGACUGCCCUAUGGGUUGUAAACUUCUUUUAUAAAGGAAUAAAGUCGGGUAUGGAUACCCGUUUGCAUGUACUUUAUGAAUAAGGAUCGGCUAACUCCGUGCCAGCAGCCGCGGUAAUACGGAGGAUCCGAGCGUUAUCCGGAUUUAUUGGGUUUAAAGGGAGCGUAGAUGGAUGUUUAAGUCAGUUGUGAAAGUUUGCGGCUCAACCGUAAAAUUGCAGUUGAUACUGGAUAUCUUGAGUGCAGUUGAGGCAGGCGGAAUUCGUGGUGUAGCGGUGAAAUGCUUAGAUAUCACGAAGAACUCCGAUUGCGAAGGCAGCCUGCUAAGCUGCAACUGACAUUGAGGCUCGAAAGUGUGGGUAUCAAACAGGAUUAGAUACCCUGGUAGUCCACACGGUAAACGAUGAAUACUCGCUGUUUGCGAUAUACUGCAAGCGGCCAAGCGAAAGCGUU
rnacentral:rRNA from 1 species